rnacentral:rRNA from 1 species
CCUACGGGAGGCAGCAGUGGGGAAUAUUGCACAAUGGGGGAAACCCUGAUGCAGCGACGCCGCGUGAGUGAAGAAGUAUUUCGGUACGUAAAGCUCUAUCAGCAGGGAAGAAAAUGACGGUACCUGACUAAGAAGCCCCGGCUAACUACGUGCCAGCAGCCGCGGUAAUACGUAGGGGGCAAGCGUUAUCCGGAUUUACUGGGUGUAAAGGGAGCGUAGACGGCAGCGCAAGUCUGGAGUGAAAUCCCAUGGCUUAACCAUGGAACUGCUUUGGAAACUGUGCAGCUAGAGUGCAGGAGAGGUAAGCGGAAUGCCUAGUGUAGCGGUGAAAUGCGUAGAUAUUAGGAGGAACACCAGGGGCGAAGGCGGCUUACUGGACUGUAACUGACGUUGAGGCUCGAAAGCGUGGGGAGCAAACAGGAUUAGAUACCCUUGUAGUC